UACGAAGGGGGCUAGCGUUGGUCGGAAUCACUGGGCGUAAAGGGCGCGUAGGCGGCUGUUCAAGUCGGGGGUGAAAUCCUGUGGCUCAACCACAGAAUGGCCUUCGAUACUGGACGGCUAGAGACCGGAAGAGGUGAGUGGAACUGCGAGUGUAGAGGUGAAAUUCGUAGAUAUUCGCAAGAACACCAGUGGCGAAGGCGGCUCACUGGUCCGGUUCUGACGCUGAGGCGCGAAAGCGUGGGGAGCAAACAGG
rnacentral:rRNA from 1 species